rnacentral:tRNA from 1 species
GCGGGCGUAUUACAUCGGUAGUAUAUGGGCUUCCCAAGCCUGGGAGGUGGGUUCGACUCCCAUCGCUCGCUCCA